GACGAACGCUGGCGGCGUGCCUAAUACAUGCAAGUUGAGCGCUGAAGGUUGGUACUUGUACCAACUGGAUGAGCAGCGAACGGGUGAGUAACGCGUGGGGAAUCUGCCUUUGAGCGGGGGACAACAUUUGGAAACGAAUGCUAAUACCGCAUAAAAACUUUAAACACAAGUUUUAAGUUUGAAAGAUGCAAUUGCAUCACUCAAAGAUGAUCCCGCGUUGUAUUAGCUAGUUGGUGAGGUAAAGGCUCACCAAGGCGAUGAUACAUAGCCGACCUGAGAGGGUGAUCGGCCACAUUGGGACUGAGACACGGCCCAAACUCCUACGGGAGGCAGCAGUAGGGAAUCUUCAGCAAUGGACGAAAGUCUGACCGAACAACGCCGCGUGAGUGAAGGAGGUUUUCGGAUCGUAAAACUCUGUUGGUAGAGGAGAACGUUGGUGAGAGUGGAAAGCUCAUCAAGUGACGGUAACUACCCAGAAAGGGACGGCUAACUACGUG
rnacentral:rRNA from 1 species